GCACAACAAAAAGUUCUCAAUGGCCCUUCAAUUGCUUGCUCCGUUUUCUAGUUGCUCUUUCCCUAAACAGCCACUAAGAAAUCACAACCCAUUCAUAUUAUCAAAAAAGGGGAAAAUUUCCAGCCCUCUUGGAUGCAUGGUUUGUCCAAAACUUGCCAAGAAAACUACUGUAAGACGAUCUGCAAAUUACCAGCCUCCCAUUUGGGAAUAUGAUUUUGUGCAGUCGCUGAAGAGUGAAUAUGGGGGACAUGUGUACACAAAACGGAUCAAUAAGCUGAAGGAAGAGGUGAGGGUGAUGCUUAAGCAAGCUGUGAAUCCUUUGGAUCAGCUCCAGCUAAUUGAUACCCUGCAAAGACUUGGAUUAGCUUAUCACUUUGAAGAUGAAAUAAAGAGAAUCUUGAUGAGCAUUUACACCCAUAAUAGCUAUGAUAAUACACGGAUGAGGGAGGAUUUGUAUGCUACAGCUCUUGAAUUUAGACUCCUGAGACAACAUGGAUAUAAAAUACCCCAAGAGAUCUUCAAUAGUUUCCGAGAUGAAGAGGGAAACUUCAAAAUGUACCUAUGUGAGGAUCGGGAGGCAAUGCUAUCUUUGUAUGAGGCAUCAUUCCUUUCAGAGGAAGGUGAAAGUAUCUUACAAUAUGCAAGAGAUUUUACAACCACUUCUCUAAAGAAGUAUGUUGAACAAAGUAAAGACCAAAACCUAUCCAUGUUAAUAAGUCAUGCACUGGAGCUCCCAUUUCACUGGAGGAUGCUACGGUUGGAGACCAGAUGGUUUAUAGAUGUAUAUGAGAGAAAACAAGACAUGAAUCCUCUUCUGCUAGAACUUGCUAAAUUGGAUUUCAACAGUGUACAAGCAACACACCAGGACGAUCUAAAAUACAUGUCAAGGUGGUGGAGAAAUACAGGUUUCGGAGAAAAAUUGGACUUUGCCAGAGAUAGGAUUAUGGAGAACUACUUAUGGACAAUUGGGGAGAUAUUCGAGCCGCAAUUCAGCAAUUGUAGGAGAAUGAGCACAAAGGUCCAUGCACUAAUAACAACAAUCGAUGAUAUAUAUGAUGUGUAUGGUACCUUGGAUGAGCUUGAGCUGUUCACUAAUGCUGUUCAAAGAUGGGAUGUUAAUGCAACAGAGCAGCUUCCAGACUAUAUGAAAUUAUGUUUCCUUUGUCUCCAUAACUCAAUAAAUGAAAUAGCUUUUGAUGUCCUUAGGGAGCAAGGAGUUCACAUCAUCCCCUACUUGAAGAAAGCCGUAAGUAUUGAUGAUGCUUCUGACUAAAUCAUUUUGAGUUGUGGAUUAAUUUAGUUUAUUCAUCAAAUUAAUGUAUAAAAGGGAUUUCGAGUCAGAAUAUAAUUAGAUCUAUGUAGGUUACGAGUCGUUUCGAAUGAAAUAUUAUUUUUUAAAAAAAUUAUUCAAUAUUAUAAGUUAUAUAUAUUUUCUCAUAAUUAUGUAAGUGAGGUUUAUUCUCCACGUUAUUAUAUUUUGUGAGAAAGGCAACAUUUUUUUUUUAAAGAAAAAUUUAAGGAAUGAAUGAAAAACCGAUCGGCUCUAUGAUCAAUCCCCUUGUCACUUCUCGCUCAGAUAGCAGCAGAAAUGGCCGAACCUAAUUGGCAAAGCUUUCGCGAGACGAGGGUUCAGUAUCCAGUAAUGCUGCUAUUGUUUACUUUUCUUAACCUAAAUUAGAUUACUAUUUUGAUUAUGGCCUGCUUUGAUUACUUCCAGCAAUGUUCAAAUUCUCUAUGCUUUCCUUAUUUUCUUUCAACCGUGAGACUGUAAUCAACUUUUCUUUUGCUACAUUACUAAGAAGCUUAACGGAAAUCGUGAACGAUAUAUACUACUGUGGGUUGGAUUUUUCAGUUGGCUUUUGUGUCUACUGUUGAAUUGGGUUAUGUUGAGUAUUAUUCUUUUCUUUUUGGAGUUUAUGCAAUAUUAGAAUUGAUUAAAUGCCUCCUGAAUUAAUCAAUUCUAGAGUUGUUGUUAGUUGCGUAUUUAUCUCCAUUUAGUUUGUGCUAAGCUAAGCUGAUUUCAAGUCACUGUGGUUAAGGAUUGUCAUGUGUAAUCACUUCAGAACUUGGUCUGACUAUAGAGAUUACACUUUAGGGUACUUGGUAGCAAUAUGCAGCUUUCCUCGCAUUAGUCAUUCUAGCUCUGCUUAGCUGGGAAGAUGGGUGAAUUAAAUGUUCAAAUUGUGAAUUCCUCAAAACAAUAUAUUAUUUUCUGGGGAAUUAUGCCCAAUUUCUUAUUUGUGAAGCAUGUUAAUAACUCACCAGUAAUUAGAUAAGCUUCUUUUUCAUUUCAUGGAAUGAUUUCAACCAAAACAUGCAAUUGCUUCAAUAUUAUCUUGUCUGGAUAAUUGUUAGGAAAUUAGAACCACUGCAUACAUGUAUUUUUGUAAUAUAGUUUGACCACAUGACAUUCUGGGGUUUUGCUAGGGACAGAUUAUUAAUUGAUCCAUUCUUGAUUCUGAAAGGUGUAUUUUCGUAGAUGCUAUGUUGCUUAUACUAUCGUGAUUCACUUGUAAAUUGAUUUCAUGUUCUUACGUUGCUGAUGUUCAGUCAAUUAGAUCAUGACUUCAAAUGCUUCUAGAAGUAACAUUAUUUGUUCAUCCUCAUUACUGUGGCAAUUAUUUCCAUUUUUUUUUUCCAUUUUUAUGCAUAUUUUUGGUGACAAGUAAAAGAUUAUGUUGUAGACUAAUAAUCUAGCAUUUUUAUAGUUGUUUGUGGACUAUGCAGUUCAUAUUUGGAUUUGUACAAGUUACUUAUUAUAUAUAUCAGAUUACAGUAUUUAUCUGGUCAUUGACUUACUCUUCUUUGUUGAAGUAUUGUUCUAGUUACCAGGAAAUAUGAACCCCACAACCACCACACCAACCGCCCCCGCCCCUCCCCGCCUCCCCCGGGCUCUCCCUCCUCCCUCCCUUCUUUCUCUUUCCUUUGGCAAUGCAUUGACAAUUUGUUUGAGAACUUAUACAGUGAAUUGAGAAGCUUAGUGAUGUAGACAUUUGCAUUUGGAGUGCCCUCAAAUCAUAGCUGAAGCACAUUGUCAAAGCCAAAAAUUGCCUAAUUACAUGGUCUUUUUCUCAAAAUUUUGGAUAAGUCACCAAAACUCAUGUCUGUUUGGCAUGUUAUGUUUGUAAUUUGAUUAUUCAUUUUACAAUUUGUUUUAGCAUCAUAUGGUAUUUCUCUUGAUAUUUUGCCAGUUGCACUCUUGUGGCAAAAUGUCACCUCAAAAAUGUUAUCUUUAAAAUUCAUUACCUCAGUGGAUUAUGCAAUUGAGAUGUGUGAUGAGGUGAAUGCAGAAGAAAUACCUUCUUGAAAUUAGAAACCCUCUGUGACGGACCCUCCAAAUGAUUCUCUGCUGUUGAAGGGUAAAUUAUUUCUUUUCUCUGAAGUUAUCGAUGCUUGUAUUAUGAGGUGAUAAGAAUUGGCUGCUUUUCUUUAGUUGGGUGGACAACUGUAAAAUAAAAUAAAAUAAAAAGAAUCAAACCGUAAGCAUCUAAACUGUUAGUACACUGCGGUCCAAGAAAUUUCGGUUUUGAAAGUGCUGACUCCAUCCAAUCUGAGUUUGAAAUCUAAUUUACAAACAUUUAUGAACCUAAUAACACUUUGAUGUCAAUAAUGGAUCUAUAGAGGACAUAUAUAUUGUACCAAAAGCAAUUUAGCAUGGUAAGAAAGAAAUUAAAAAUUUCACAAGCAUAAAUAUUAUCCCCAGUCCCACAAUAGAAAGGGAGAGAGAGUGACCUCUCUAAUACUUGUAUCCCUUAACAUACAAACUCUCAGAAGCCAACCCACCAGCACCUCCUCCAAUAUACUUUCCAAGAGUUGCCUCAGAAUUGGCCUUGCACCUCGCCAAGAAUGCUUCCUGAGCUUUCUCAACAUUCUCUUUCUUUCCAGCCCAUGUUUUCAGUGUGCUUUGUUGCAAAGCUCUACCGAAGGAGAAGGAUAAUGUCCAUGGCUUUAACACUGGAAGCUUGUUCAUUGCAUUAAGGUUCUGUGUUGCCUCCUCCUCACUUUGUCCACCGGACAAAAACACAAUGCCUGGAACGGCCGGUGGAACAGUUCGGCGUAGUGCAGUCACUGUGUACCCAGCAAUUACCUCUGCUGCUACCUUUGGACUAUCAGAACCAGGAGUAACCAUGUUAGGCUUAAGGAGUGUGCCUUCAAGAAGAACAUGUUGAUCAUUCAGUGCCUUAUAAACUGCUGCGAGAACAAUUUCAGUCACAUAAGCACACUUCUUGAUGUCAUGAGGACCAUCGGUCAAGACCUCUGGUUCGACUACGGGCACCAGCCCAUUCUCCUGACAAAUGAUGGCGUAACGAGCCAAGCCCUGUGCAUUCUGCUGGAUUGCCAAUUCAGAAGGCUCAGUGGGACAAAUCUUCAGGACAGCCCGCCACUUGGCAAAUCUAGCACCAGCCUUAUAGUACUGCUGGCAGCGAGCACCUAGCGAGUCAAAGCCUUGGGUUGUAGUUUCACCAUUAGUGCCUGCUAAUUCAACGGUGCCUUUGUCAACUUUGAUCCCGGGGACAACAUUGUUUUCCUGAAGAACUUCAACGAAUGGUUUCCCAUCAGAGGUUUUCUGGUAGAGGGUUUCUUCGAAUAGGAUAACACCUGAAAGGUAGGAGAGGGCAUUGGGGGAAGUGAAAAGGAGCUCGCGGAGGGCUUGGCGGUUGGACUCCACAUUCUCAACACUUAUGCUGGCGAGACGCUUGCCGAUGGUGCCUGUGCUCUCAUCUGCUGCCAAAAUGCCCUUCCCUGGAGUGGCAAUGUACUUGGCAGUCUUGAUCAGCUCAUCUGCAUAUUUUCCAACAAAGGCCGACAUGGCUAAAGCUUACGGGAGGGAUGUAUAUUAGAUAGAAGGAUGGAUAGACGAAAAUGGCAAAGCAAACCAACACAAAGUAUGGUUAUGUAAAAGAUAAGCUCCUACAGAAUAUGCCAGCAGAAUCCACCAAACACCACCUGUUAAUACGUGUCAGUAGAUAAGCCCAACACAGAUUAUCAUCCUUGGAUAGAGCAAUGAGUGACCGCUCCCAGAGCCAAGUGGCACUCUAUCUGUACUUUAUCCUUACUCAAAUCGCAGUGACCCUAUAACUAUUGUGUGGGAAAGCCAAUCCAUCCCUCAUCCACUUGCUCUCUACAAAUUCUGAAUGUCCAUGGCUGAACUGAACAAAAGGGCAAUUUUUGGACUCUACCAGCUCUAUUAGUCUCAGUCACUCCAACCAUAUAUCAACGUCCCUUUAAAUUCAAAUCACCUCUCUCAUUGGCGAAUUUCUUGAAUUCAUUCAUUUAAUGCAUGCAUUAUAGGGCCAAAGAAAAGGAUAAGGAGGAAUAAUGGAAUUACAAAAACCUGAAUGAAAGGAUCUCCAUGCUACAAUCAUAGCCAGAACCUUAAAGAGCAUAUAAAUUUAAUAUCAGAAGAUAUAUUUUUCAGAAGGGAAAGCUAUCAAAAUGUUUGAAGUUACUGCCUAUAAUUACUGAAAAUUAUUGCGUGGACCAUGUAUAAAAACUCAUAUGGCGUGAUUCCCACUUGUUUAGUGAAGCCCACCCAUGCGAGCAUUGGUAUACAUAUGCCGUUGGGAUGCAACAAAAGUCCAUAAUUACUUCCCCCUGAGCCAGCAGGAUAACAAAAGGAAAGCUUAUCUAUGUUGCUUUGGAGGCGGGAUUAUUUCACUGCCAACAAAUGGCAAUCAAACUCUCCUGCAGAACUAUAAUAGAACCAGGAGACGCAUGAUUACAAAACCCAAUGUAACAAAGUUUCAAAAACUUCACAUGAGAGGGCAAAUUAUAGGUUUAAUGAAGACAAAAUUUGUUAAAAACUAAAACAGAACUCAACAUAUAAAAAGAACAGCAUGUCUAGCUGAUUUCCUCCCCAACCACUCAUGGACAAUCGGCAACUCUCGAUCGAUCUUAUUGUGUAAAGGCCUCCACUGGUUGAUCAUCAUCUGUACCAAAAUAUCUAUCUCCAAAUUCUCCCAUGCCAGGAAUGACGCGAAAAUCUUCAUUCAAGCCAAUUUCAAUCUCAGACGUCACAAUCUUUAUCCUUGGGAACCUUUUGCAGACCACAUGAACUCCCUGAGGUGCAGAUAUCAGAUUAAGAAAUAUAAUGUUGAACUCAGGGACACCCUUGCUAAUCAGUAAAGAGAUAGCUUGAACAGCUGAGUUGCCUGAACAAAGGUACAAUAGUCAACUCCUGAAAGUUUAUAAUAUUUAUCUAUUUAAUUAGUUUCUAUCAAGUUCAAGUAUGAACUUGCAAUUAUAUUUUGAAGGGCUACUUUCAUAUGAGUUUUGUUUCAGUCGCAUCUUAAGAAAUUAGCUGCACAAAGAAGCAAGGUCAUUUCCAAAUUACAACAAUAUCCCAAUCUUUAAGGGUGCAUGAAUGCCAACUCCUACAUAUGUUACAAACAAGGGGAAAAUCAAAUAAUAUCAGACAGGAUAUGCAAUGUGGGAAAUUGGAAAAACCUAACCAGCCUUGGAUUUUAUAUCACUAAAACAAACAAACCUGUCCCUAGAAUGGGAUCCAAUAGCAACACGUGUCUCUUUGAGAUGUCUUGUGGUAAUUUCUCAUAGAUUAACUGCCAAAUUAUUGAAGGACCAAGAAAAUGAUCAGAAUUUAACAAAACAGAGACAUUCCCAAGGGACAUAAACAGACAUCCCCAAGGGACAUUCACUCGAGUAUAGAGGAAGAUGCCUCUACAAACCUGCUGACCGUUGUCACCUUCUCUAUGAAUAAGAAUCUUCCCAAUCUUUAUACCUUUACAACAUGCUCGCAAAGCAUUUUCCAUACUCUCACCACUGGGUUCAGUUUAGCAGGGCAUUAGCUAGUUGGUUGACAAGUAAUAAGCAAAAGCAGCAGGAAGAAUCUCACAUGUAAGAGAGACACACACAGAGUGAGAGAGAGAGAGAGA
rnacentral:misc_RNA from 1 species